UAAUAUGAGAGUUUGAUCUUGGCUCAGGAUGAACGCUGGCGGCGUGCCUAAUACAUGCAAGUCGAACGAACUUCCGUUAAUUGAUUAUGACGUGCUUGCACUGAAUGAGAUUUUAACACGAAGUGAGUGGCGGACGGGUGAGUAACACGUGGGUAACCUGCCCAGAAGCAGGGGAUAACACCUGGAAACAGAUGCUAAUACCG
rnacentral:rRNA from 1 species